rnacentral:rRNA from 1 species
UACAGAGGUCUCAAGCGUUGUUCGGAUUCAUUGGGCGUAAAGGGUGCGUAGGCGGCGCGGUAAGUCGGGUGUGAAAUCUUGGAGCUUAACUCCGAAACUGCAUUCGAUACUGCCGUGCUUGAGGACUGGAGAGGAGACUGGAAUUUACGGUGUAGCGGUGAAAUGCGUAGAUAUCGUAAGGAAGACCAGUGGCGAAGGCGGGUCUCUGGACAGUUCCUGACGCUGAGGCACGGAAGGCCCAGGGGGAGCAAACGGG